rnacentral:rRNA from 1 species
GAUCAUGGCUCAGGAUGAACGCUAGCUACAGGCUUAACACAUGCAAGUCGAGGGGCAGCAGAUCGAAAGCUUGCUUUGAUGCUGGCGACCGGCGCACGGGUGAGUAACGCGUAUCCAACCUUCCCUAUAGUAGAGAAUAGCCCGGCGAAAGUCGGAUUAAUGCUCUAUGUUGUAUUUAGAAGACAUCUGAAGAAUACCAAAGGUUUUACCGCUAUAGGAUGGGGAUGCGUCUGAUUAGGUAGUAGGCGGGGUAACGGCCCACCUAGCCGACGAUCAGUAGGGGUUCUGAGAGGAAGGUCCCCCACAUUGGAACUGAGACACGGUCCAAACUCCUACGGGAGGCAGCAGUGAGGAAUAUUGGUCAAUGGACGGAAGUCUGAACCAGCCAAGUAAGCGUGCAGGAUGACGGCCCUAUGGGUUGUAAACUGCUUUUAUAUAGGGAUAAAGUCGGGGACGUGUCCCCGUUUGUAGGUACUAUAUGAAUAAGGACCGGCUAAUUCCGUGCCAGCCGCCGC